rnacentral:rRNA from 1 species
UACGUAGGGGGCAAGCGUUGUCCGGAUUUAUUGGGCGUAAAGAGCGUGUAGGCGGUUUGGUAGGUCCGCUGUGAAAACUCGAGGCUCAACCUCGAGACGCCGGUGGAAACCAUCUAGCUAGAGUCCGGAAGAGGAGAGUGGAAUUCCUGGUGUAGCGGUGAAAUGCGCAGAUAUCAGGAAGAACACCAAUGGCGAAGGCAGCUCGCUGGGACGGUACUGACGCUGAGGCGCGAAAGCGUGGGGAGCGAACAGG